GCAGCCUGAUGCAGCGACGCCGCGUGAGGGAUGGACGGCCUUCGGGUUGUAAACCUCUUUUGUUAGGGAGCAAGCGUAAGUGAGUUGUACCUUUCGAAUAAGCACCGGCUAACUACGUGCCAGCAGCCGCGGUAA
rnacentral:rRNA from 1 species